ACAAACAAAUUUAAUACAUUAGGAAGGAAAUAACAACAUGUUAACAUUAACAAUCGCAUUUUCUUACAAAAAUAUUCAAACUAACUGUUCAUACAGUGCACAGUGAAUAUGACAUUUAGCACACGAUGCACUUUUACUUUGAAGUUGCUCUAUCGCUCAUAUGCGGAUCCAGUGAGAGCAGCAAUCUACUGAACGCUUCCAGUUUACUCAGCCCAGAUCGCCUGCUUGGAGUGUCAUGGACUGACCCUUGUGAAUUUGAGGGAGAUCUAGAUCCAGGCUGACAGAAUACGCACUUCAGAAGGAAGACAUAGAGCACUCCACAGGAAGAAAACGCUGGAUGUGUGCAAGUUUUGUGAGCACGGGUAUAUUCCAGGAUGACAAUGCCAAGAUUCAUCGGACUCAAAUUGUGAAAGAGCGGUUCAGGGAGCAUGAGGAAUCAUUUUCACACAUGAAUUGGCCACCACAGAGUCCUGACCUUAACCCCAUUUAAAGUCUUUGGGAUGUGCUGGAGAAGACUUUACAGAGUGGAUCGACUCUCUUGUCAUCAAUACAAGAUCUCGGCCAAAAAUUAAUGCAACUCUGGCUGGAAAUAAAUGUUGUGACGUUGUAUAAGGUUGUCAAAACAAUGCCACGACGAAUGUGCACUGUAAUCAAAGCUAAAUGCGGUCCAACGAAAUAGUAGAGUAUGCAACUUUUUUUUUCUUUCUUUUUUUUUUGACCAGGCAGUGUAUUACGAAGAUAUUUUUUCCCCUUUGGACCCAGAAUCUGUAUUAAAAAAAUAAAGUAGGUCAAUUUCAUGGUCCCUUUAAAUUUAGCGAAAUUAGCCUCCAAAUUGUUUGUAUUAUCAAUAAAAAAAAAUCUAGUUUAAGAUUCAUGUAAAUUCAAAGAUACAUAAAAAAAGUAUUGUUUUUAUUACAUUUAUAGCAAAGGCAACACUUUACAAUAAAUAUUUGUUAACAUUAGUUGUUAACAUGACCUAACAAUUAGGGCUGGAUAUUGAUACAGACUUCCCGAUUCUAUUUGAUUCCAAUUCGAUAUUGAUUUAUAUGGGUUUAUUUCAGUUAUAAUGUCCAUUUUGCUUAUAUAUCAAGGAAAUUAUCUCCCAGCUAAUGCUGUUAAUUAUACAGGGGACCUUCCAAAUAGUUACAUUAUGAAAAUAUUAAUUUUACUAAUAUUUUAUUAGUUUUUCAUCAUUUGUCACAUUUUAGCUUUUUAAAAUGAACAAAUCCAUGUAUUCUAUCAAUAUGAUAUUAUAAUGCAUAUUAUAUUUUUGUUACACGAUUAUUGUUUCCAUGCAUAAUUUGUACUAUUUACACGUAUUGGCAUUCAGUUGAUUAACACGCGCUAAAAACCGGUACUGUCUCUUUAAGAAAACCAGUAAAUGAGCACAUAUAAACAAGUGUGACUUCUUUACCGCAUCCAUGCUAUGCGUGAUUAUUUUUUGUUGUUUCUGAUCAACAACUGACUGUAAAGAACAGAAAUGGUACUAAAAGAGAAUUAUUCAAUGACAAAUGUAUUCCGUGGAUCUCAUCUUUGGACACUCAUUGGAACGAGUUAAACCAAACUUUUACUCUCAACACGCAGUGAAAUGAUCUCGGUGCUGAACAUCUUCCCCACUAUACAACACAAUCACUGUAGUCUUUACCUUGUCUACGUUGGCUCGGGUCUUAGCAGACGUCUCCACGUAGCACACCCCCCACUGAUCAGCUCUAACUUUGGCCUCAUCUGAGCUCACCUGUCUCCUGUCCUCAAGAUCAGACUUAUUCCCCACCAACAGGAAGGGGACAUUCUCGUCUUCUUUCACGCGCAGAAUCUGCUCUCUGUGUAAAGAAGCCGGAUCCAGCUCCAUUCCUGCUUGGUACUGGACUCCAUUGCUACGUGUCUCUGAGUGAUGGCGCAAAAUGCAGCCGGUGCCAGCCAGACAUAACUUCAGUCUAUUACGAUGGACCACAGCGGAUGAACUGAUGCCAACUCCAACCAUAAGACAUGGGAUACUUCAUAUGCCAUUGCCUGAACCUUGGACUUAGGAUAGACCUCACCAAAAUUACCGGCCGGUUGAACUGCGAAGCACCUCACUGAUCUCGGCCUGCAUCACCUUGGUCUAAUGAUGGACAACACUCUUAAAAUGGAAUACAUAGCCUAUCAAUAAAUUGCCAACAAAAGCCUUCAUCAGCCAACUAACAAAGGACAAUGCAACUAUAUUAACUUCUGCAGUUAAUCCAGGAUGAACUUCAGAGACAUUAGUCAUUACUCUUAAACCCUGCUUUCUCCCAAGGUUAUUUUUCUCCAUUAACCAACAUCCUACGGAGUUUUGUGUUCCUUGCCACAGUCACCUUCGACUUGCUCACUGGGUUUCUAAAUGCAAUUAUUAUUUAAUUACCUAUUUUUAUACAUGCUUCAUAACUGUAUUUAAUCAAACUACACAAUGAUGACUAAGACUUUAUAGAUAUUACAGUUUCAUUUUCUGUUAAUACAUGAUUUUCUGUAAAGCUGCUUUGAAAUGAUGUGUGUUGUGAAAGGCACUAUACAAAUAAAAAUGACAUGACAUAUUCCACAAUGAGAGUGCUUCUGUAUUUACUUAUUUUGUAUUUUUGCAUUAUAAUUCCCUAAUACUUUGUGAUCUACAUCAUCUGAAGCUGUUUGGA